rnacentral:rRNA from 1 species
UACGUAGGGUGCGAGCGUUAAUCGGAAUUACUGGGCGUAAAGCGUGCGCAGGCGGUUCGUCGUGUCUGAUGUGAAAGCCCCGGGCUCAACCUGGGAAUGGCAUUGGAAACUGGCGGACUAGAGUGUGGCAGAGGGGGGUGGAAUUCCGCGUGUAGCAGUGAAAUGCGUAGAUAUGCGGAGGAACACCGAUGGCGAAGGCAGCCUCCUGGGAUAACACUGACGCUCAUGCACGAAAGCGUGGGGAGCAAACAGG